ensembl:lncRNA
GUAGCCAGGGAGAGCGCUGAUAACACAGCAAGCCUUUGAGAGGGGGCAGGAAGGCGGUUUGAGAGGGGGCAGGAGGGCGGUUUAUGGGUGGUCAGAGUGGAGUCUGGAAGACAACUCACAUCGACCCGACAGAGUGUGUGUCUCUAUCCAGGUCCAGCAGGUGGCAGCAACAUCCAGAAGAAUUACAGGAAAGAAGAAGAAGAUUUUGAUUAAUAAUCAUACAAUUAAUAAGAAGUGCCUCUGAAAUAUACAACAUUUAACCAUGUUGAGAAACUUGAUUAUUUUUGAGAGUGCAUUACAUCCAUACACUCAUAGUGAUGGUGAAAUGAAGCUUCAUGACACCUUGAAGCUUUCCAGUCAGAUCCGUGAAAAGUGGUUCAUUUCUUGGCCUCUGAGUGCACUCUAGGGACACCUGCUGGUCAAUGGAAAUACCAUACGAGAAAAGGCAGGUGAUGGCGCUGAAAGAAUAAAGAAAAAGUUAUUUUUAAGUAUUUGGUCAGUGUUAUUUUGCCAUGAGAUUAAAAUAAUAUAACAUAAUCAUAAUAAUAUAAAUAAUCUGGUCGGUGAGUGUUUACCUGGGUAGUAUAAACCAUUCUGACAUUAAAGGUUCUUUAAAGUAGGCAGAGUGGAAAACAUGUUGCAAAAUGAUCUGUGGCUAUAUGAAAUAACAUAAUAAUUAGGCUUGUGUUAUAUUUCAUGGAAAUCAUAGCCUACAAGCUGGAAAUCAAAAAUAAGAGUUGUCUACAAGUUCCUGGCUCCAAUCACAAAAUUAAGUACUUACAACAACCCCUGCAAAUUAACUAAAUUGAAUGUGGCUCCUGUGUGACUGGAUGUCGCAGGUUCGUGAUCAUAAAGUGAGUUACAAGGUUAUGGAGCUGGUCAUACUGUGUAGUGUUUCUCUUAAAAACAAUAUUGGUCAUACAAAAGGACAGAACGCUUCAGAAGAACAUUUAUUUGAUGUAAAAAAAGCUGAAAUGCACAUGCUGAAUGAAGGUCAACGGAAGGUUAAUGCUAGGUGGGCUUCUCAUGCCUAUGCAUGAUGCUGUGCAUUUAGAUAGCUUGAUUACCCCCUUGGGAUAUGGAGCUUCAACGGGAAGUGCUUCACAUUUUUGACACAAGCCACAGUUUCAAGGGUAACCACUAGAAAGUAAUGGUGGGUUGUCUUAAAAAGGGAUCUCAGCAAUGAACAUUGUAUCAAGAAAUAAUAUUUUUUAAUUUUUUGCUAAAUUAGUAAUGAUACAAUGUUUCAGUUGAGCCAGGGGGUUUCAUAGGGUUCUGGAAGUUCUACAAGCAACAACAAAAUGGGUGCGUUCAGUCAGUCUUCAAAAACAAUGUUCUUGUUUUCCACAGUUGGAAGAGGUCUUUGAGAGGUCUAUUUCCCACUGGUGGGAAGUUACGUUUUUUGUUCUUGUUGUCUAUAUAUUCCUUUAAAGCUCUGCAAGUUUUUGUCCUAGAAUUAUAAAAAGAACACCCCCAGAAACAUUUAAUCUUAUACAUAUAUGCCACUUGUCAGUGGCGUAACUUAGUAACGACGGGCCCAGGUGCAAGAUAUUAUGAAGGGCCCCCCUAGUUAACGCAAAAAAAUUAAAUCGUAGCGUUGCCUACUUCCGCAACUGCGUCCAAAAAAAC